rnacentral:lncRNA from 1 species
AUUUCCCAACAGCAUAUAAUACAUUGUUUGGUUCUAAGAUAAUCUUUUAAGACAACCACAGGAAGACAACACCCUAUGAUGUCUUUGGGCAAGCUUUAUUAUAAUAUCAGUAGGUGAUUCUAUGUGUUUCCUCACCUUAUUGUCUGUGGUUGAAGCAUUCACUAAUAAUUGUACUUUCCCAAUCAUACAUCACACCCAUAUUUCUAUAAAAACCCAGUUUACCAGAGCAACCCCACAAUCUUCUUGUUCAUCUGAGCUGAGACACUCUGCUAAAGGCAAACAGUAAGUAUGAUGCUUUUUUUACUCUGCAUGUUUGCUGUGAAACAACUUUUCAUAUGAUUGUUUGUUCAGCAGAUCACCAUGACCAUGCUGAAGGUAGCCGUUCUCCUCGUGUGCAUCAUGAGUGUCACUCUGGCCAAACCUACUGGACCCAAAAGAGUUGCACGUUCAAAUUCCGCCCCUGAUACAAACUCUGAUGAGCUGUAUUUCCUGCAGGCAACUCCUACUGCAGCAGGAGCCACUACCACCCCUGCACUCAAUCUUGGUCAACUUAAUACUGCCCAACUUCUCCAGAUUUUACUUCCACUGCUACAGGGCUGAGAACGACUGCUUCUCCAUAUGAUCCAUCUGCUACACAUCUUGCAAUAAUAAACAAAUAAACCAGAAGCA